rnacentral:rRNA from 1 species
UACGAAGGGGCGAGCGUUGUUCGGAUUUACUGGGCGUAAAGGGCGCGCAGGCGGCUCAUUUUGUCAGGCGUGAAAUCUCCCGGCUUAACUGGGAGGGGCCAUUGGAAACUGUAGAGCUGGAGUGCAGGAGAGGGCUAACGGAAUUCCCGGUGUAGUGGUGAAAUGCGUAGAUAUCGGGAGGAACACCAGUGGCGAAGGCGGAUUAGCUGGCCUGUAACUGACACUGAGGCGCGAAGGCUAGGGGAGCGAACAGG